rnacentral:rRNA from 1 species
CAGAGGUGCCAAGCGUUAGGCGGAAUCACUGGGCGUUAAAGCGCGCGUAGGCGGACGUUUAAGUGUCUUGUGAAAUCCCACGGCUCAACCGUGGAACUGCUGGGCAUACUGGACGUCUCGAGGCACUCAGGGGCGAGCGGAACAAGUGGUGGAGCGGUGAAAUGCGUAGAUAUCACUUGGAACGCCAAUGGUGAAGACAGCUCGCUGGGGGUGUCCUGACGCUGAGGCGCGAAAGCCAGGGGAGCGAACGGGAUUAGAUACCCCGGUAGUCCUGGCCCUAAACGAUGUCCACUAGAUCAUGGCGGCUCUGACGCCGUCAUGGUCGGAGCAAAAGUGUUAAGUGGACCGCCUGGGAAGUACGGUCGCAAGGCUA